AGCGAACGCUGGCGGCAGGCUUAACACAUGCAAGUCGAGCGGGCGUAGCAAUACGUCAGCGGCAGACGGGUGAGUAACGCGUGGGAACGUACCUUUUGGUUCGGAACAACACAGGGAAACUUGUGCUAAUACCGGAUAAGCCCUUACGGGGAAAGAUUUAUCGCCGAAAGAUCGGCCCGCGUCUGAUUAGCUAGUUGGUGUGGUAACGGCGCACCAAGGCGACGAUCAGUAGCUGGCCUGAGAGGAUGAUCAGCCACAUUGGGACUGAGACACGGCCCAAACUCCUACGGGAGGCAGCAGUGGGGAAUAUUGGACAAUGGGCGCAAGCCUGAUCCAGCCAUGCCGCGUGAGUGAUGAAGGCCCUAGGGUUGUAAAGCUCUUUUGUGCGGGAAGAUAAUGACGGUACCGCAAGAAUAAGCCCC
rnacentral:rRNA from 1 species